UACGUAGGGUGCGAGCGUUAAUCGGAAUUACUGGGCGUAAAGCGUGCGCAGGCGGUGAUGUAAGACAGAUGUGAAAUCCCCGGGCUCAACCUGGGAAUGGCAGUGGAAACUAGGAGACUUGAAUCUGGCAGAGGGGGGGUGGAAUUCCACGUGUAGCAGUGAAAUGCGUAGAGAUGUGGAGGAACACCGAUGGCGAAGGCAGCCCCCUGGGCUGAGCAUUGACGCUCAGGCACGGAAAGCGUGGGGAGCAAACAGGG
rnacentral:rRNA from 1 species